GCGGUGCAGUGUGCGCAGUGUCAGUCUGCGUCUGGUGGAGCCGUGUGUCAGUGUGCUGCUGGCUCUCUGCUCCGCUCACACACAUCCCGCUGCCAGAGAUUAAUGUGAGAUCAUAGUACUGGUCUAGUGACGUCCGCUGGACACCUCAACCGCUGGCCAGCCUCCAAAUUCUCCCACAUCU